AUUCUGGCUCAGGCUUUUACUAAGAUGUGUGGGGCAAUUUCAUCUCACUGACCCUUGGUUUUCUACAUUUUAAACUAAGGAUUAUAACAUUAAUCUUGAGACUCUGAAAAACUUUUCUCUGACAGAAAUGAUCCCUGGCAACAGUGACAUUCUGACACCAUGCGUGAUGCACACUCUUGGGAAGUCUGAAUUCCAUGUCACAAUGGCUCUGUUCAGAAUACUAGUUUUAUCAUUCCUGUAAGCACAAUUAAACUACUGAAGUUUC